CUACGUGCCAGCAGCCGCGGUAAUACGUAGGUCCCGAGCGUUGUCCGGAUUUAUUGGGCGUAAAGCGAGCGCAGGCGGUUAGAUAAGUCUGAAGUUAAAGGCUGUGGCUUAACCAUAGUACGCUUUGGAAACUGUUUAACUUGAGUGCAAGAGGGGAGAGUGGAAUUCCAUGUGUAGCGGUGAAAUGCGUAGAUAUAUGGAGGAACACCAGUGGCGAARGCGRCUCUCUGGUCUGUAACUGACGCUGAGGCUCGAAAGCGUGGGGAGCAAACAGGAUUAGAUACCCUGGUAGUCCACGCUGUAAACGAUGUCGAUUUGGGGAUUGGGCUUUGAGCUUGGUGCCCGUAGCUAACGUGAUAAAUCGACCGCCUGGGGAGUACGGCCGCAAGGUUAAAACUCAAAUGAAUUGACGGGGGCCCGCACAAGCGGUGGAGCAUGUGGUUUAAUUCGAUGCAACGCGAAGAACCUUACCUACUCUUGACAUCCAUGGAAUCUUGUAGAGAUACGAGAGUGC
rnacentral:rRNA from 1 species